GUGAAUCUCUACAUCUUAAGAACUGAUGGAUAAGUGCUCCCCUUUUUCUUCUCUUGACAGCCUCUUAUCCUCAGAACAUCACAAGGAAUUUGUUACCCAGGAGUCCAAACAACUUCUCCCGGAAGGAUGCAUGACAACAGGAUAUGGAGAGGGCAGUGCACCCCAAGCUCCUGCAUGCGUGCAAAUGUAGCCUCUGGAGCCAGGAAGGAGGGGCAGGAGAACAAUCGUUGCUCAACCCACUUCAUGGAAUACCUCAAGUGACUGGCGGUCAUCGCACUGGAUUCACCUCUUAAAGGCAGCUGAUCAGAAACUUUACAUCUGCACGUGUCCUUCACUUGCCAUGUAGCAGCAUAAUCACAAAGCAUGAACAUCAACAACAUUUUGAAAUAUUGCUUACCACAUCUA